rnacentral:rRNA from 1 species
GUGGGGAAUCUUCCGCAAUGGACGAAAGUCUGACGGAGCAACGCCGCGUGAGUGAAGAAGGUUUUCGGAUCGUAAAGCUCUUUCGUUAGGGACGAACGUGCUCUUUGUGAAUAAUGAGGAGUAAUGACGGUACCUAAAUAAGAAGCCACGGCUAACUACGUGCCAGCAGCCGCGGUAAUACGUAGGUGGCAAGCGUUGUCCGGAAUUAUUGGGCGUAAAGCGCGCGCAGGCGGGAUAUCAAGUCUGUCUUAAAAGUGCGAGGCUCAACCUCGUGAGGGGCAGAAACUGGGAUUCUUGAGUGUCGGAGAGGAAAGUGGAAUUCCAAGUGUAGCGGUGAAAUGCGUAGAGAUUUGGAAGAACACCAGUGGCGAAGGCGACUUUCUGGACGAUGUCUGACGCUGAGGCGCGAAAGCUAGGGGAGCGAACGGGAUUAGAUACCCCGGUAGUCC